UUGUGGUUCUAGAGCGCCUGGGCAGUGCUUUACUCACAUGGUUGCUAAUCACGUGAAAUGUAAGUGAAAGCCACCAUGUUGGGUAAAGUAAAGCUCAUCAUGUUCCUCAUUUGUUGU
rnacentral:pre_miRNA from 14 species